rnacentral:rRNA from 1 species
AUGCCGCGUGAGUGAUGAAGGCCUUAGGGUCGUAAAGCUCUUUCGCCAGGGAUGAUAAUGACAGUACCUGGUAAAGAAACCCCGGCUAACUCCGUGCCAGCAGCCGCGGUAAUACGGAGGGGGUUAGCGUUGUUCGGAAUUACUGGGCGUAAAGCGCGCGUAGGCGGAUCGGAAAGUUGGGGGUGAAAUCCCGGGGCUCAACCCCGGAACUGCCUCCAAAACUAUCGGUCUAGAGUUCGAGAGAGGUGAGUGGAAUUCCGAGUGUAGAGGUGAAAUUCGUAGAUAUUCGGAGGAACACCAGUGGCGAAGGCGGCUCACUGGCUCGAUACUGACGCUGAGGUGCGAAAGUGUGGGGAGCAAACAGGAUUAGAUACCCUGGUAGUCCACACCGUAAACGAUGAAUGCCAGUCGUCGGGCAGUAUACUGUUCGGUGACACACCUAACGGAUUAAGCAUUCCGCCUGGGGAGUACGGUCGCAAGAUUAAAACUCAAAG